AUAGGGGCCUCUGCAGCCAUGGUCAUGCCACCCUGCCCUGGACCUGUGACUUGCCACCCACUUCUAGGGGUUCCAGUCUUGCCCUCACCUCCUUGCCCUCCUGAGCUCGGACCACAGAGAAAACCUCCUACAUCCCGUCCCUCCGUGGGGCAGCAGACAUGGUACUGAAAUGUGCCACGCAUUGUCUCACUAUGAAUUCACGGGAUUCUCAAACCACCCGAGAGGCAGGGUGUUUGUUCUUGCUACUGCCCUGUAACAGAUGCGGAAAUUGAUUCUCCGUGAGGUUGCAGAGUUUAACACAGGAGAUUCACGUGCAGAAUCUGGGUGUCCCAAACUUGCUGCCCCGCAGUGUCACUGCGUGAUCAUCUCAGCUGCUUUAAAUGCCAGUGGUGGGUUACUGCACCCUCCAGUGUCGCUUCUUUUACUGACGGGUAAACUGAGGCAAGGAGCCUUGAAGUCACAGAUCAAGAGUCAAGAGUAAGAGGCAGGGCUGGGAUUCGAACCGAGUCCGAGAGCCCGGGACCUGCUCCGCCGCUUCCCCACGGGCCUCCGGCGCCCACUUGGGGGCUAAGGCGCCCCCGCCGCCGGGCCCCUCCGGACGCCGAGGCCAGCCGAGAUCGGGCCGCCGGCCAGGCUGCUGGGCGCCGCGCCCGUCCGCAUCACGCCGCGGUGAGUCACCGCGCGCCGGCCCCGGCCCCGCCCCCCGCGCCAACAAACAGCGCGUUGCUCGGCAACCGCCACCGCCCUCCAGCGCGGACCUGGGUUCGAGCCUCAGGCCGGGGUGCGCGCUAAGAGGGAUUUUGGGACUCCGUAGUCUUCCCUAGAUUAGGGGUUCAGAUCAGGCCUGUAAUCCUGGUGGGCACGGAGGUGAUGGUGAAGGAGACAGCUGUGGUCCAAUGAAGGUGGGGAGGGCUGAGGGUGGCUCUCUCCAAUCCAGACCCACCGGGGCUCCCCAGAAGUGGGCGGUCAGGUCAGGAGAUGGCGGCUGGGCCAGAGUUGCAGCUGAGAGGUCGAGGCCAUUUUCCUAAGGGAUUUGGGGAGCUGGCCUGGCGGGAGCUGUCAGGAGCGCUGUGAUGAGGGCUUUUUUGCAUCCUCCCCACCCCUGCCGACCUCCCAAACUAGCUAACACUUAAUGAGCACGUUCUAUGUUCUAAGCCUGUUCUAUGCAUGUGUGGGCCUAUGUGUAUUAACUCAUGUAAUGUUCACCAUGAAGUCGGGCGCGGCGGCUCACGCCUAUAAUCCCAGCACUUUAGGAAGCCGAAGCCCGUGGAUCACUUGAUGUCAGGAGUUCAAGACCAGCCUGGGCAAAAUGGUGAAACCCCGUCUGUACUAAAAAUACAAAAAUUAGCCGAGCGUGAUGGCCAGCACCUCUAAUCCCAGCUACUUGGGAGACCGAGGCAGGAGAAUCGCUUGAACCCGGGAGGCAGAGGUUGCAGUGGGCCAAGAUCGUGCCACUGCACUCCAGCCUGGGUGACAAGAGUGAAACUCCGUCUCAAAAAAUAAUAAUAAUAAAAAUUAAAAAUAGUGUUCACCAUGGCCCUCUGACGUUUCAUUGACAUUCUCAUUUUACAGAUGGGGAAACUGAGUCAACAGAGGGUCAAUGUCCUUUGCCAGAGGAUGCACAGCCAAGCUGGCAUCCGGGCUCCCAAACCUGUCUCAGGAGGGUGCAUGCCUGGCCUUGGCAGGGCCAUAUCUGUGGGAGUCUUCAGGCGUUGUGGGGAUAGGUGCCAAGGCUACAUUGAAGUGUGGGUAGGUUAUGCAAGUGGGGGAUGGCGCCUGGUGGGCUCCUUGGGGGCUGUCGACACAUGAUACUGAAGGCUGUGCACUACAGAGGUUGCACCAGCACCCCCCUAGACUUCCCAUGCCAUCUGAGUGCAGGGAGAGAGUUUCCCAGCACCAGCUUCAGAUGGCCUGAACUCCGGGCUCCCUGGCACCCCAAUAGUCACCACUGAGCCGCCCACAGGACCCUUAAGGGAGCUGCCUGAGGGGCCUUCCGGAGCCCCAGAUCCUAUGGGGCGGGGAGAAGAGUAGAUACUAGCAUCUCAGACACGGAGAUGGACCAGCUGCCUGGGAAGUGACCAGCUUUGAGUCCUGUAAGAAAUGUCCAUUUGGCUCACAUGACCAAGUCAAUCACUCAAAUGGUUGAGUUGGGGAGAUGGCUGAGUUACAGGGAUCCUGGACAGUCUAAAGCCAAGAAGGUGAGGAGGGCUUCUCGGAGGAGGUGAUACCCUGGGAACUGAAGGAUGCUCGGGAGUUGGCGAAUAACAGGCAGGACCUUCCUGCGGGAGAGGUUGGGACACCAGGAACUUUUCCAAGUGGAAGGUAGAGGGGACACGUGAUUGGAUUUAACGGGCUGUCUCUGGAGAAUGGCUAGAAGGCAUAAGGAAAGUCGGAGAGGACCAGGGAGGUGGCUGUUGGAAUAUAUUUAGGCCAGAGAUGAUGGUGACUUAAGGAUACAGUUGGCAGA
rnacentral:lncRNA from 1 species